rnacentral:sRNA from 1 species
UAAGAAGAUCUCUCCAAAGAGAGACAAGGGAUUGGUGGAAAAAUUGACAGCGUAUGCCAUGACUAUUCCAUUUGUCAGGCAACAGGUUUACAAAAAAGUGGAAGAAAAAGUGCGAAAGCAGACUAAAGGCCUUUAUCCUGCACCUCUGAAAAUAAUUGAUGUGGUAAAGACUGGAAUUGAGCAAGGGAGUGAUGCCGGUUAUCUCUCUGAAUCUCAGGUAAACUUAUUUCCUUUCAAUGUUUUAUUAUCAGUUAAAGGAAAACUAAAGAUCCAAUCCUCUGUAUAAAGCUGAAAAAGGAAAAAAAUAUCCAAAGCCUAGUAAAAAUUUUUUUCUUCCAGUGCUUAUCAUCUCUUAUGAUUAAUCUCAGUGAGCAAGUGGAUGCUAAGAAUACCCUAAUGGGGCCAGGCGUGGUGGUUUACCCCUGUAAUCCCAACACUCUGGGAGGCCGAGGUGGGCAGAUGGUUUGAGCUCAGGAGUUCAAGACCAGCAUGUGCAACAUGGCAAAACCCCAUCUUUACAAAAACUACAAAAGUUAGCCAGGCAUGGUGGCAUGCACCCACAGUCCCAGCUACUUGCAGGGCUGAGGCAGGAGAAUUGUUUGAGUCCAGGAGGUCAAGGCUGCAGUGAGCUAAGUAAGAUCGCACCACUGCAUUCCAGCCUGGGUGACAAAGUGAGACCCUGUCUCCAAA